rnacentral:tRNA from 1 species
AGUGGUUUGGAGCUUGGCUGCUAACCAAAAGAUUGGUGGUUCAAAUCCACCAGCCCCUC